GGGGGUGAUAUGGAUUCGACGGGAUGCGAGAGAUUAUUUGCUGCAUACCGAGCUUGGCUGGUGAUGCUCGUUAAUACAAUCAGUCAAAUUUAAAAUGCCAACGAUAAUUUCGCUUUAGCAGCAUAAUAAAAACGACUGCUAACAUCUUCACUGAGAUUUGCUUGCCGGUCUCUUUGAAGGUGUCGCAAAUAGACAAGCGGACGCAAAUUUUGAGAUGGGAUUUGCGCGACACUAACAUCUCAAGCUGCUCUGAUGCCUGUUAAUCGGCUCGUCAGGGCAUAAUUAAAAGAUUAACUAUGUAUGUAGAAGCAAUAGUUAAUGCAUUCCGGACGCGGGUUCAACUCCCGCCACCUCCACAA
rnacentral:tmRNA from 1 species